rnacentral:rRNA from 1 species
AUUGAACGCUGGCGGCAGGCCUAACACAUGCAAGUCGAGCGGAUGAAGGGAGCUUGCUCCUGGAUUCAGCGGCGGACGGGUGAGUAAUGCCUAGGAAUCUGCCUGGUAGUGGGGGAUAACGUCCGGAAACGGGCGCUAAUACCGCAUACGUCCUGAGGGAGAAAGUGGGGGAUCUUCGGACCUCACGCUAUCAGAUGAGCCUAGGUCGGAUUAGCUAGUUGGUGGGGUAAAGGCUACCAAGGCGACGAUCCGUAAAGUGUUUGAGAGGAUGAACAGGCACACUGGAACUGAGACACGGUCCAGACUCCUACGGGAGGCAGCAGUGGGGAAUAUUGGACAAUGGGGGAAAGCCUGAUACAGCCAUGCCGCGUGUGUGAAGAAGGUCUUCGGAUUGUAAAGCACUUUAAGUUGGGAGGAAGGGCAGUAAGUUAAUACCUUGCUGUUUUGACGUUACCAACAGAAUAAGCACCGGCUAACUUCGUG